CAGCACCUCAAGUGGUCAGGAUGAUUAUUGGGCCUAAAGCAUCCGUAGCCGGCGCUGUAAGUUUUCGGUUAAAUCUGUACGCUCAACGUACAGGCUGCCGGGAAUACUGCAGCGCUAGGGAGUGGGAGAGGUAGACGGUACUCGGUAGGAAGGGGUAAAAUCCUUUGAUCCAUUGAUGACCACCUGUGGCGAAGGCGGUCUACCAGAACACGUCCGACGGUGAGGGAUGAAAGCUGGGGGAGCAAACCGGAUUAGAUACCCGAGUAGUCC
rnacentral:rRNA from 1 species